rnacentral:tRNA from 1 species
CUCCUUUGAGCAUGACGUUAUUCGUCCUGUCGGGCGUCCUCACAAAUUACCUGCAUUCAGAGAUUCAUACCGGCACAGGUCGGUAUGCGAAGUCCCUUUUGGGGCCUUAGCUCAGCUGGGAGAGCACCUGCUUUGCAAGCAGGGGGUCGUCGGUUCGAUCCCGACAGGCUCCACCAUAUUGAGUGAAAAGACUUCGGGUCUGUAGCUCAGGUGGUUAGAGCGCACCCCUGAUAAGGGUGAGGUCGGUAGUUCGAGUCUACCCAGACCCACCACUCUGAAUGUAGUGCACACUUAAGAAUUUAUAUGGAUCAGCGUUGAGGCUGAGACAUGUUCUUUUAUAACUUGUGACGUAGCGAGCGUUUGAGAUAUCUAUCUAAACGUGUCGUUGAGGCUAAGGCGGGGACUUCGAGUCCCUAAAUAAUUGAGUCGUAUGUUCGCGUUGGUGGCUUUGUACCCCACACAACACGGCAUGUAGCUCCGAGGCAACUUGGGGUUAUAUGGUCAAGCGAAUAAGCGCACACGGGGA